UUUAUUGGUGUCAUUUAUUAUUCCAUUCACAGGUGGCUGUAAGUAGGGAUAAUUCAUUCCCUUACUCUAUUUCCUGACUUUGGACCUCCAAGAGGUUCCCUGGAAUAAGUUCAUAACAAAAAUAGGGAAGCAUUCUGGAAGCAGACUGGUACAGAAGAAAGACUUCAGUAUUGAAGGAAAAUAUUUAUCAUAAUUGUGUUUCUAGACAACUACAGUCUUGAGAAAUCUAUGGCUGA
rnacentral:lncRNA from 1 species